rfam:Syphacia muris strain Valencia genome assembly, scaffold: SMTV_scaffold0001388
CCAACGGCCCUCAUUAGGGCCACUACAUCUUUAAUCGGACGUUCUAG